rnacentral:rRNA from 1 species
GAGCGGUAAGGCCUUUCGGGGUACACGAGCGGCGAACGGGUGAGUAACACGUGGGUGAUCUGCCCUGCACUUCGGGAUAAGCCUGGGAAACUGGGUCUAAUACCGGAUAUGACCUCCUAUCGCAUGGUGGGUGGUGGAAAGAUUUAUCGGUGCAGGAUGGGCCCGCGGCCUAUCAGCUUGUUGGUGGGGUAAUGGCCUACCAAGGCGACGACGGGUAGCCGACCUGAGAGGGUGACCGGCCACACUGGGACUGAGACACGGCCCAGACUCUACGGGAGGCAGCAGUGGGGAAUAUUGCACAAUGGGCGAAAGCCUGAUGCAGCGACGCCGCGUGAGGGAUGACGGCUUCGGGUUGUAAACCUCUUUCAGCAGGGACGAAGCGCAAGUGACGGUACCUGCAGAAGAAGCACCGGCUAACUACGUGCCAGCAGCCGCGGUAAUACGUAGGGUGCAAGCGUUGUCCGGAAUUACUGGGCGUAAAGAGUUCGUAGGCGGUUUGUCGCGGUCGUUUGUGAAAACCAGCAGCUCAACUGCUGGCUUGCAGGCGAUACGGGCAGACUUGAGUACUGCAGGGGAGACUGGAAUUCCUGGUGUAGCGGUGAAAUGCGCAGAUAUCAGGANGAA